rnacentral:rRNA from 1 species
GACGGGGGAUGCAAUCGUUAUCAGGAAUCACUGGGCGUAAAGCGUCUGUAGGUGGUGAUGCAAGUCACUGGUGCAAAACUCUGGCUCAACCGGAGGAAAGCCAGUGAAACUGCAUGACUAGAGUGUGGGAGAGGUAGAAGGAAUUCCCUGAGUAGCGGUGAAAUGCGUAGAUACAGGGAAGAACACCGGAGGCGAAAGCGUUCUACUGGAACACAACUGACACUGAGAGACGAAAGCUAGGGUAGCGAAUGGG